AUUGAACGCUGGCGGCAGGCUUAACACAUGCAAGUCGAGCGGGGGUAGGUAGCUUGCUACCGGACCUAGCGGCGGACGGGUGAGUAAUGCUUAGGAAUCUGCCUAUUAGUGGGGGACAACAUCUCGAAAGAGAUGCUAAUACCGCAUACGUCCUACGGGAGAAAGCAGGGGAUCGUCGGACCUUGCGCUAAUAGAUGAGCCUAAGUCGGAUUAGCUAGUUGGUGGGGUAAAGGCCUACCAAGGCGACGAUCUGUAGCGGGUCUGAGAGGAUGAUCCGCCACACUGGGACUGAGACACGGCCCAGACUCCUACGGGAGGCAGCAGUGGGGAAUAUUGGACAAUGGGGGGAACCCUGAUCCAGCCAUGCCGCGUGUGUGAAGAAGGCCUUAUGGUUGUAAAGCACUUUAAGCGAGGAGGAGGCUACUCUAGUUAAUACCUAGGGAUAGUGGACGUUACUCGCAGAAUAAGCACCGGCUAACUCUGUGCCAGCCGCCGCAGUAA
rnacentral:rRNA from 1 species